rnacentral:rRNA from 1 species
GAAGGCCCAGACAGCCAGGAUGUUGGCUUAGAAGCAGCCAUCAUUUAAAGAAAGCGUAAUAGCUCACUGGUCGAGUCGGCCUGCGCGGAAGAUGUAACGGGGCUAAACCAUGCACCGAAGCUGCGGCAGCGAACGUAUCACCCAAGACAACUUUACGGAGUUGACGAUUGACGGAGCGAAGCGACGUCAAAGCGUUCAUUAAAGUCGAGUUGGCUUAGGGAUACGUUCGUUGGGUAGGGGAGCGUUCUGUAAGCCUGUGAAGGUGUGUCGUGAGGCAUGCUGGAGGUAUCAGAAGUGCGAAUGCUGACAUAAGUAACGAUAAAGCGGGUGAAAAGCCCGCUCGCCGGAAGACCAAGGGUUCCUGUCCAACGUUAAUCGGGGCAGGGUGAGUCGACCCCUAAGGCGAGGCCGAAAGGCGUAGUCGAUGGGAAACGGGUUAAUAUUCCCGUACUUGGUGUUACUGCGAAGGGGGGACGGAGAAGGCUAUGUUGGCCGGGCGACGGUUGUCCCGGUUUAAGCGUGUAGGUGUGUGUUCCAGGUAAAUCCGGUUCACUUUAACACUGAGGCGUGAUGACGAGGCACUACGGUGCUGAAGCAACAAAUGCCCUGCUUCCAGGAAAAGCCUCUAAGCAUCAGGUAACAUCAAAUCGUACCCCAAACCGACACAGGUGGUCAGGUAGAGAAUACCAAGGCGCUUGAGAGAACUCGGGUGAAGGAACUAGGCAAAAUGGUGCCGUAACUUCGGGAGAAGGCACGCUGACACGUAGGUGAAGUGAUUUACUCA